rnacentral:lncRNA from 1 species
CCAUAGGAAAAUAAGGUAUUGCAAGUUUCUCUGCAUCUUUAACUAUGAGGUGGCUACAAGCGAUUGUCUACGAUGUAAUAGACCAUCCAAGCUUACCCUGCAACUACAACAACAAGAAUAAAAAUACAUCACUUCCAUCAAUCUCUCUAGACUCUCUAGGUGUAUCUCGCACAGGCAGUCAUCAUAGCUUCUCCGAGCCUUCGAUUGCCUCCCCAGGCCCCCCACCUCCACCCGAGCUUGAUC